rnacentral:rRNA from 1 species
GUGGGGAAUAUUGCGCAAUGGGGGAAACCCUGACGCAGCAAUACCGCGUGAGUGAAGAAGGUUUUCGGAUCGUAAAACUCUUUUAUUGGGGAAGAAGAAGUGACGGUACCCAAUGAAGAAGUCCCGGCUAACUACGUGCCAGCAGCCGCGGUAAUACGUAGGGGACAAGCGUUGUCCGGAAUCACUGGGCGUAAAGGGCGCGUAGGCGGUUUUAUAAGUCAGAUGUGAAAGGUACCGGCUCAACCGGUGACGUGCAUUUGAAACUGUAAGACUUGAGUACUGGAGAGGCAAGUGGAAUUCCUAGUGUAGCGGUGAAAUGCGUAGAUAUUAGGAGGAACACCGGUGGCGAAGGCGGCUUGCUGGACAGAUACUGACGCUGAGGUGCGAAAGCGUGGGGAGCGAACAGGAUUAGAUACCCUAGUAGUCC